rnacentral:lncRNA from 1 species
UGCAAAAAUUAUGGUGUUCAGAGAUGUUGUUUCUUCAGCUAGUUUGAUUCUCCGAUGAGUCUUCCCUCAAGAGUUGUUAUAGUUGGUUUGUUAAGGAAAAUCAAGACAUUAGAUAGGGAAAGAAGGAAAGAAUGGAUUAUAUGGAUUGUUAGUUUGGUUUGUUGUAUGUUUUGUGUUUGGAUAAAGAAGUGGAGCAGUGAGAUGAUAU